rnacentral:rRNA from 1 species
AUUUACAGGGUUAAAGCCUUUAACAUGCUAGUCGAACGGUAACAGGGAGCUUGCUCCGCUGACGAGUGGCGAACGGGUGAGUAAUGCGUCGGAACGUGCCGAGUAGUGGGGGAUAACUAUCCGAAAGGAUAGCUAAUACCGCAUACGCUUUGAGAAGGAAAGCAGGGGAUCGCAAGACCUUGCGCUAUUCGAGCGGCCGACGUCUGAUUAGCUAGUUGGUGAGGUAAAGGCUCACCAAGGCAUCGAUCAGUAGCGGGUCUGAGAGGAUGAUCCGCCACACUGGGACUGAGACACGGCCCAGACUCCUACGGGAGGCAGCAGUGGGGAAUUUUGGACAAUGGGCGCAAGCCUGAUCCAGCCAUGCCGCGUGUCUGAAGAAGGCCUUCGGGUUGUAAAGGACUUUUGUCAGGGAGGAAAUCCCUAGCGCUAAUAUCGCUGGGGGAUGACAGUACCUGAAGAAUAAGCACCGGCUAACUACGUGCCAGCAGCCGCGGUAAUACGUAGGGUGCAAGCGUUAAUCGGAAUUACUGGGCGUAAAGCGUGCGCAGGCGGUUGUGUAAGUCUGAUGUGAAAGCCCCGGGCUUUACCUGGGAACUGCAUUGGAGACUGCACAGCUAGAGUGCGUCAGAGGGGGGUAGAAUUCCGCGUGUAGCAGUGAAAUGCGUAGAGAUGCGGAGGAAUACCGAUGGCGAAGGCAGCCCCCUGGGAUGACACUGACGCUCAUGCACGAAAGCGUGGGGAGCAAACAGGAUUAUAUACCCCGGUAGUCCACGCCCUCAACGAUGUCAACUAGCUGUUGGGGGGGUGAAUCCUUGGUAGCGUACUAACACGAGAAAUUGACCGCCCCGGGGAGUACAGCCGCGCGGUUAAACUCUUUGAAUUGACUUGGACCCGCCCCAGCCGGUGGGUGGUGUGGAGUAUUUUUAUGCACGCGAAAACCUUACCUCGUCUUGACAUGUGCAUAACAUCACCAUACGGAUUGGUGUCGGAAAGCAACUGUACCCUGCAGCUGAUGCUGCUCAGUUCGUGCCGUCGAUGUUGGUUAUUCCGUAACGACCCAACAUGCCAUCGUGCUACAUUUGUCGACAUUCUAUGAGACUGCCAG